rnacentral:lncRNA from 1 species
UGGACUUGGAGUCGAGGGAGAAGUGGUUGCGCGUGAAGCGAGAGAGGAUGUUGGACUUGCCGACGCCGCUGUCCCCGAUGAGCACCAUCUUGAAAAGGUACGAGUACUCGUGAUCCACUCGCCCGCCCAUCUCUCUCCCCUGCCCUCCUGCUCGUCCGGAGAUGAGAUCCCUUCUCGGUGGUGAGGAGGUCCUGAGGGAGGAGGCGCCCAAGAAAGGAAGGGGGAUUCGUCUAGGAAGAAGAAGAGGGGAAAGUAGGGGAGUGGUGGCCUGGCCUUGCGCUGGUGGGUGGUGGUGGGAGAGCACUCGCCCAGCUAACAAACCCCUCCAAAGGGAAUUGCGAGCCCAGCCUCCCUUCGAUUGCUCCCAUUUCAGUCCUGGCCCCUGGGCCCGUAUAAGUUUAGGUUAGAAAAAAAAAUGUCGGGCUCUCUCUGUUUCUACAGCAGAUCAGUAUUCCAAAUAUUAGAGGUGGAAAACUUAAUCUUAUUUAUUGAAAAUAAUAUAAUUUCUUCCUUUUUACAACAAUAAACCAUGUGGCAUAAAAAAAAUAUACACCAAGAAAACAAGAGACUUGUACAAGUAUAGCAGUAAUAACAACAAAAGGAACAAUUAAAAAACCAAACAAUAGUUUGGAUGCUUAGCCCACGUGACCUAUCAGUGAUCAAAACAUGUGGUUUGGUAUCUAUGUAUCCUAUUAAUGUGGUUAUUUUAAUUUUCAGUCCGUACAUUCAUGGUGUUAUAAAUCGUUGUCGCUACGGAUCUCCAAUCCGCUGUCCCAAAUCCCAUCUAAGAACAUGAUGGGAAGAAGUUAUAGAUAGAUCUCGUUUCCCUCACACAAAUACACUAGAACAUUAUCACAUGAGAGAUAAGUACGUGAGGGGAGCUAACUUCUAAUUAUUCUCUGUACACUGAGUGCGUACAUGGUUACCUAUAUAGGAAGAAGAGGAUCCUUUAGCUUCACGAUGAACCAUUCACCUUCAGGAUGAACCCUUCACCUUCAGGAUGUAAAUACGGUAUAAGCCCACUAGUUUAUCAGUUUCAUAACACACUCUCUUGGGUGAAUACCACAAUCAACAUAUGCCUCGUUAAAACUAAAAACCCCAAUGGAAAAAAAUGGAGAAAGAGUACAUUCACUUUAAUGCAUUUGUGCAUUGUUGCCUCAUUAAAAAACUUACAUGAGAAACUCUCGCACAAGGAAAAAAAGAGUACAACUAGAGUCUUCGGGACAAAUCAUAAUCUCUUUUAGCGACCAUGCCUUAGCACGUAUUUCAUUAACAACAAAGCAGUUUAUAGACACAAUUCUUGAUAGACACAAUUCUUGAUGCAGCCAAACAGGACUUGGCCAACACAAGAGCACAAAUGACUAAAAACAGAGAAAUACUGAAAAGAAAGUACAACCAAACUCACAGCCAACAGCAUGAAAAAAAGUGAGAGAAGAACCCACACAGCCAAGUCAACAAUGACCAAAACAGCUGAACCUGCAAAGGGGUACAUCGAUGACAAGGUCACCCAAAGGUAGCCCACACACAACAUAGGUGGCAAAUCAUCCACCAAGCAUCACCCACGGCGACAAAGUAUCCGCCCAAAACAAACAAUGGUGGCAAAGCAUCCACCCAAGGCAAUCCAUCCAGCAUGACCUGAAGGCAAGGGCGGCAAAGUACCCGCCAACGAAGAGUAGCGGUCGCCAAGCACAUCCACCAAGCAUCACCCACGGCGGUAAAGUAUCCGCCCAAAACAAUGGUGGCAAAGCAUCCACCCAAGGCAAUCCAUCCAGCAUGACCUGAAGGCAGCGGCGGCAAAGUAUCCGCCAGCGAAGAGUAGCGGUGGCCAAGCAUCCACCAGACAACAUCACGACAGUUAUCCUAGCGACCAAGGCAACAGUGUUCAAGUCAACGCGAAGGCAGGUAUAGAAAAGCCACUCCCAGGUAGAGGUAACGAAGGCCACCAACACCGCCUUGACGAAUCCCAAGGUCUCAACAAGCCCGAAGGAAGGUGCUAUGAGUAGCACCGACGGUAGCGCAAUGCACGUCAGCAGUGAAAAACAAACCAUGAGCUUCCAAGACAACGCCUCUGAGAAUACGACACCGCUGGCGCCGCCAUGGCCCGACCAUCACAGUCUAGGUUUUCACCUGGAAGGCUUGACCGAUCAAAGGGAGGGAAGGGAAGAGGGUAGCAAUCGAUGCCUCCAGGGAGGGAUACGGCGCCUAAGGGCAUCGUCAUCGUCGACCCGCAAGCAGGCAAAGGCUUACGCCUAGAACCCACUCCCCACCCCCACCCAAAGCACGUCGCCGACAGUCCCGCACCACGUCACCAAAUGCCACUGCACCAGCAAGCACCCACGCCGCCACGGCCACUACCACAUGCGAAUGGCAGGGAGGCGGCCAUCAACUGCAGCCACGGACCUAUCACUGUCACCCUUGGCCAGGGGGGUGGUGGUCCGCGACGGGGAGGGUGAGGGUGGUGGGCCCCUCCAACGAUGGCAGCUCCCUCCGACCAGCGGCUGCUCAGGACCAGGAAGCCCAGAUCCAGGGUUAGGGGCAAUGGAUCUGUAGGCCAGUAGGCUAAGGAAGCCCCCGCUGGUGGCGAGGGAGCGGGCUCCUCCGGUGAUGGUGACGCCCUUCGACCAGCGGCUGCCCGAGCCUAGGAGAGCAUGGAUCCAGGGCCGGGGCCGUGGAUCUGCAGGCUAGCAGGCCAUGUCAGCCCUCGUCGGCGGGAAGAACGGUGACCGGGGGAGGAAGAAGCAACCUUGAAUCAUGGGUUCAUGACGUGUGCGAGUGAGGAGAGGUCAGGGAGAGAAGAGGGAAGGAAGGGAGUCGCCGCCGCUGCGGCCCGCCGGCUGGCAGCGGCGGCCAACAGGGCCUGUUGCUCGGGGGCUGGCGGCAGCGGCGCUAUCGUCCUUUGAGUUGCCCGAGGGAGGGCGACGUGGAGGUCCGAACAGAUAAACUUGAGUGAGGACUCUGAUCCGAUCCUAUUGUGGAAUAAAUGUGGAGGUCUGAUCCGAUCCUAUUAUGGAAUAGUGAGGACUCUGAUCGGAUCUUAGAUAAAAUUGAGUGAGGAAACAGAACAGAUAAACGCGGAGGUCCGAACAGAUAAUCUUCUAGAUCAUAUCAUUCUGGAUUUCGUGGAAUCCAAUGCAACGGCUAACAUUUAGGGAGGUACUCCCCUGAACCUUACAAACUUCUCAUAUGGCUCGAACACCUUCUACAGCAAAGCAUAUGCACAUAGAGACUCAACAAAUUGCAUAUUAUUGCACUGAUCAGUUUAUGAACCUAGCCUCAUCUUUCUUCUGGAAUGUGUGAGGUAAGAAUAUGGAAUACUAUAAUAAGUAGGCCACUUUCAUUAGUAGGUGUCAUGAUAAAGGCUUCAAGGAAGGUUUAGGAACCGAUCAUCAAAUUAACAUCUUCUAUGUAUUGUUUGAUACUUUUUGAGUUGUAUUGAAUGGCGAUCAAGACUUCACGUUUACUCCCCCUGACGUCAAUAUCUAUUGACAUAUUUUAGCAACAUGCCAUUUAAUCACUAUUUAAAAAAUAGACAUGGCAAGAACAAUACGAGCGAGAUUACAAGUUCUCACCAUAUAUCGUAUUCAUGAUGUUGUCUCGGUGUUCUUCUGGACCGUUAAAAACAAGGAAUAUUGGGGGAAAUUCAUUAUAUUUUUAUCAUGCACAUGCAAGUGACAUGUCUUUUUAGAGGACUUUAGUAGUUACAUAGUUGCAAUGAUACACAUCUUCUAGACCUCAUUAAUGUGACACAAUUAUAUCAUUGCAAUUUUCUCUAAGAUUAUUGAAAAAAAUCGACGGUCCUUCAGGUAUCAAUUUCAAUCCUUCAUGGAGGAUUUUUAACUGUUGAUUGUACUUAUAACGGUAAACAUAAGAAACAUUCCUUUCUAGCAUUACUGGGGUAAUUUUGCUAAUGUCAUCAAAUAUACCUUCUAGGAUUUUAGAGGAUACCAAUACUCCAAACCUUUAGGUGGAGAAUGCAUUAUAUAUCACGAGCAUAUAUAAGCACACAGUAAACACUACAAGGAUUUGUGCUUAAUGCCAUGAUUUUCUUUAGCAACAGUUGAUUUUUAUUGCAAUGCAUAGGGGUUAUUGUGACAGUUGUCGUUUUUGGUUGCAUUAGGGGCAUAUGUUGCCACCAAUUGUGUGGUGUUGCGAUUUAAAUUUUGUUGGAUGCAAUAAGGCGGAUAUAUCGCAACGAAUAUAUUUGCGUUGUAAUUACGGUGACGUUAUUGCAACGCUAGUAGUAAUGGUUGCAAAAAGAUAUCCAUGUCGCAAUGAAUAUAAAUCCUUGCUAUUAGUACUAUCGUGUGUUGCAAAAGAGUCUAUGAUAUAGCAACGCACAAUGAUUUGUUGCGAAUAGAGUCUUAGAUAUAGCAACACAAAACUAUAAGCAACAAUACCUAGAUGAGCCUAAAUACGAUAAAAAAUAGGCUCAGAAACAAAAAAAAUGGAAAAAAAUAUGUGGAUAAAAAAAGGUAAAAGCAAUCGCACAAGAGGAGUCAAACUCAUGACCUUCCUCAUAAAGAGGAGGCCUAACCACUACGCUACUACUUUGGUUCUACUAACAUGUGGCAUUAUUAUUCUUUUAGUUAAAUUUUGAGCCCGUUAUUACCUAAAAAGAAAAAAAAUAGGGGCCAGGGGAGAAUCAAACCCGUGACCAGCCACAUGGAGUAGAGGAGUCUUACCACGAUUCUACACCUCAGUUUGUGCCUUGUUUGGAUAUUAGAAAGCUUUUAUAUAAAACCAUAAUAUUGCUAAGAUAGAAAAAUGUGGCGCAGUGGAGAUUCAAACCCGUGACAUUGCUCAUCAACGAAGUAUGACUCGACUUCAUCUUGAACCCAAGACUUGACUCGACUUCAUCUUGGGCCCAUCUGUCAGUUAGGGAAUGGUGAGAUUAAAUUGUGGCAUUGAUGAGAAUUGAACCCAAGACCUGACUCAACUUCAUCUUGGGCCCAUCUGUCAGUUAGGGAAUGGUUAGAUUGAACCCAAACCUCGCGCUCAAGAAGAGUGAGCAUUACCACUAGACCACUUCUAGAUUUGUGGUGAGCAAUGGCAUUUUCUUUACAGAUUCUAUCAUUAUGUCCCAUGUCAGUGCCGACCCAUGAGAUGGUAUCCAACCACCGGUCACCACGUGGCAGCACGCGAUUGGCUUAACUGAUUUGGGAUAAAGAAUACAUGAAUAGUUAAUCUUUAUUUUUUUAAUCUAGAAUCAAAAUUUGUAGCUAGUAUUUCUCCUUCAUACGUAAUCCUCCAAUUCGAUGGUUCUUUUUUCUAUUUUUUUUCUAAAAUCACCCUCUUUUUAUAAUGAUGUUAUUUUACAUAAAUUGUGUGACGACCCUAGCUUAAUUAACCUUGUUUAAGCCUAAGUGAAGCCAUUAGAGCCUAAGAGAGCAAUUAGCAGCUAGUUGGACAAGUAAAAGCUCACUUUUGCCCCUCAAGAGCUUAAAGAGUGUUUAAAGAGUGUUUAGGCAGUAAUUCAAAUUUUUAUAUAAGAACUUAAAAAUUUAUUCGAACUCAUCUUCCCUCACAACUUUUAUAUUUGGCGUUUUGUUUGAAUCUGAGUAGAAGACCUUCAAAAACUCGAAAUUCAAAUCUGUGCCAAAUUAAGAAAAGCAGAUAAAGUCCCAACUUUGAAGCUCUUUAUCUUAAAUUUUCCAAUGUAAACUCAAGCUGAACUCUAUACAAAAGUUUUAGUGCUUCGAGCCCUUAACAACUUUGAUUAAAUAAGUUAGGCCAAAAUCUGCACAAAAGGUUUUCAAAAAUGAAGUCAAACACAACUAAAUGGUCAACUCUGGCACAAUUUGAAGUUUUCACUAAAUUUGAGAUGAACGCAUUUUGCCAAACUUUGAAGCUUUUUAUCUACAAAUCUGCUACAAAUUUGAACUCGAACCAAUUACAAGAAUUGAACUUGGAUCUUAGGUCUGCAACUUUUGUAAAGGGAGUUAAUAUCACGCAGUUCAAAAUCUGAAGUACAUCACGCUCGAAGACCGUCCCGUCACCUGAUCCUGCAAAUCCCUCACACCUAGAGCAUGCUAGAGCAUGCGUGCGCCGUGCUCCGCUCACCGCCCACCCCGUGGUGUGCGUCCACCGGCGCCGCUCCAUCGUCCCGUCCCCAGCCGUGACAAGAUGGGUCGACGAGCCCAGCCACCCAGUCGAGCGCGCGGUCUCCAUGCCCUCUACAACUCCUCUACGCCGCUCUGCCUCGCCCAAGGGAGCGCCCUGCUCAGCGCGUGCCCCCGCGACGCGCCCUGCGCGCUGCCGCCGCCGCCUUCGCCAACCGCCGGCCAGGACACGACACCUCGAGCGCUCGCUUCGCCAACCCGGCGCUCCGACAAAGCCGUCUCUCCGCGCACGUCUCGCUUCGCCCCAUGCCUGCACGCCUCGUCUGCGGCGCCAUCACUCCUCCCGCCAAUGGUGCCGCCACCAUUAAUGGCAGCAGCAGCGCCCCGCCUUCCCUCCGGCCCCAUCUGCCAACGCCUCACCUCGCCUUGCCUAUAAGUAGCCGACCGCCCUGCCCGAGCUCCUUUCCCCGCUUGCGAAGCUCUGCCCCGUUCCCCUGCUCUGUUUCGUGCCCACCGCCGAGCCACCUCACCGCGGAGCCCCCUCCUCUGCCCAGCCCAACCCCUCACCACCGCCCGUUUCAACAUCGCUGCUCCCUUGUGCAGCUCUAGAGCUCGCCCCAUCGGAACGCCACCACGGCCGCUUUUUGUCCCUGCGCCGUUCCGCCCCAUCGAGCCUCCUCCGCGCCCCCAACUGCCGCCAAUCGACUCCCGGUGAGCUCCCGUGCCUCCCCCACAACUCUUGCCCGGGAUUGGCCGGCGCAUCACCGGAUUCCGGCCAAACCACCGCCGUGCGCGCCGCCAAGGACACCCUUGUGUCUUUUACCAGUUUCUAGGGGCCUUAGCGUAAGAACUAGGGAUCCCUACGCAGUUAAACCAUAGACGUGAGGGCUAGAUCGCAAGUUUGCCUCGGUUUUGUUUUGUUUUCGGCAGAAAAUAUAGUGAACUUUGAAAAUGCACCAUAAAUUGUAGAAAAACCAAAAAAAUGUCAAAUCAAUUUUGCUAGACUCAGUAUGAAGUAUAGUUUCUGAUAAAAAUAAUUUUGGCACAUGUCACGGUUAGAAUUAAUGUUAUAUUAUUUAAUCCUUGUUUAAGCUAUUUAAAUCAUAGUAAAUCACAGAAAAAUGCUAAAAGGAUGAAUCCAACUCUCAAGUGCUUGUCUCAGAGAAUAUAAGCUUGGAAAAAUGAUUUGGAGCCUAGCUCAGAUGUUUAAGUCUCUGUUUUAGUUUUAUAAUUGCAAUCUAAGGUUUAAAUUAUCUUUUGCACAAUAUUUAAUCCAGAGAGGAGAAAAACGUGAAACCACAUGGAGUAAUUUAGUGAUGAAGUAUAGUUCACAAGAAAAAUAUGAAACCUUGUCUGAAAGUAAUAAAACCCACAUUCCUUUUUAGAGAAAAAUGAAUAAGAGUAAUAUAUGGAAUAUAGAUGUCAUUCACUAAAAAUUAUAAUAAAUUCACCAAAGUCUCUAAUUCACCCCUAGAACCCACCAAAGUUAUGCAGUAGCUUAUUUAUGACAAAGUUAAGUUGUUAAAUUUGUAGCUUCAUAGCUUGUUGUUUGGUUAAUGAAAUAAAAUUUGGAAGAUGAACCUAAUUGAAUGGAUGAGAGAAACAUCAAGUAAUAAUAAGGGUAAUGAUGGUAAUUUCAGGAGAGGUAGAGAAAAACAUUCAGAAACAGGAUAACUUCCCAAAUAAACCUUGAUCAACCCUAGAAUGACCCCACCUUUCUUUAUGAUGUCUAAGUUGUAAAACCUUAAAUGUGUACACAAUCACCAUCAAAAUUAACCCCGGGUUUUAUGCCAUAACACAACUUACUUCAUGAAGAUAAUAAAAGUUUAGAACCUUAUUUAGGUGAAUGUGGUCGAAGUGUAAUUUACACUUCAACAAUAAUUCAUGUUUUGCAUCCUGCAUGUGAAAGCAUGGAAGAUUAAACUUGUUGCAUUUGCAUUUCGUGUAGAAGUGAAUCUCGCCGAUGGUACAUACGAGCUGCACCCGGUACCGGAAGAAGAAGCCGUAGCGGAUUUGCACCAUGCCGGAGUCGAGCCCGUGCCAGAGCAAGCAGAGGACCAGUUCGCUAACACCAAGUGUGAAGG